rnacentral:tRNA from 1 species
UUGACGACAGUUAAAUUGGCAUAACGAGGGCUAUAGACUUACUCAUAUUCUCAGUUCAAAUCUGGUUCGUCAAU